AUUGAACGCUGGCGGCAGGCCUAACACAUGCAAGUCGAACGAGUGGCGGACGGGUGAGUAAUGUCUGGGAAACUGCCCGAUGGAAGGGGAUAACUACUGGAAACGGUAGCUAAUACCGCAUACCAUCGGAUGUGCCCAGAUGGGAUUAGCUAGUAGGUGGGGUAACGGCUCACCUAGGCGACGAUCCCUAGCUGGUCUGAGAGGAUGACCAGCCACACUGGAACUGAGACACGGUCCAGACUCCUACGGGAGGCAGCAAGGGGGAAUAUUGCGCAAUGGGCGCAAGCCUGAUGCAUCCAUGCCGCGUGUAUGAGGAAGGCCGUCGGGUUGUAAAGUACUUUCAGCGAGGAGGCGUGAACUACAGAAGAAGCACCGGCUAACUCCGUGCCAGCCGCCGCGGUAAUACC
rnacentral:rRNA from 1 species